UCUUUUCUUUUGAUAGGAGAGUUUUUAAAACCAGUGUUAUUUUUGUAAGUUUAAGAGAAGUUUGUGUAUUGAAUUUUUAAUAUUAAAGAGCUUUGUUAAACUUAGACUUAAGUUUAGGUCAUUUUGGGGGUUUAGCUCAGUUGGCUAGAGCAUCGGCUUUGCAAGCCGAGGGUCAAGGGUUCGAGUCCCUUAACCUCCAUUGGGCUUAUGUCCUAAAUUGUAAUUAAGUAUGUUUUUAAGCAACUUUGUUAAAGUAAUUGUUAGAAUGUGAAACAGAGAAAGUUAAAAUUUCUGGGUUAAGUUGAGAUCUGUUGAUAUUAAGAAGAAUCUCUAGAAGCAAAAGCAAGCUUUCGAUAAAACCCGAAGUUGUUUCGCUAAAGUGCAAGGAUUAAACAGGAUUGUAUUUUCCAGCAGCCUAUUUUAUAAACGAUCUGCAUUUAGUAAAUAGUUUUUAGUUAAGAAAUAAUGUAGAUUGCUAAGUGUGAUGUCUGAAAGAAGGACAAGUAUUUUAGCGAGCCUAAAUCCUUGUUAUCGUUGCCAGUAUUUAGUGGUAGGGAUUCGGAUAAGACUGCCAUUUAUAAGCUGGAGGAAGGCAAAGAUUGCAUUAAAUCGUUAUCGCUCUUAUGUUUUAGGUUACAAGUUUGCCACAAUAACCCAAAAAAGCUAAGCAAAAUGCUAUAAAGCAGAUUUCAGUUUGGAUUUGCCCGACACUCAAUGGCAUGAAGUUGUAAUUGUUAGUAAUCG
rnacentral:misc_RNA from 1 species